rnacentral:rRNA from 1 species
CGGGGGGGGCUAGCGUUGUUCGGAAUUACUGGGCGUAAAGGGCUCGUAGGUGGCCAACUAAGUCAUGCGUGAAAUCCCUCGGCUUAACCGGGGAACUGCGUCUGAUACUGGAUGGCUUGAAUCCGGGAGAGGGAUGCGGAAUUCCAGGUGUAGCGGUGAAAUGCGUAGAUAUCUGGAGGAACACCGGUGGCGAAGGCGGCAUCCUGGACCGGCAUUGACACUGAGGAGCGAAAGCCAGGGGAGCAAACGGGAUUAGAUACCCCGGUAGUCCUGGCCCUAAACGAUGAAUGCUUGGUGUGACGGGUAUCGAUCCCUGUCGUGCCGAAGCUAACGCAUUAAGCAUUCCGCCUGGGGAGUACGGUCGCAAGGCUG